rnacentral:rRNA from 1 species
CCUACGGGGGGCAGCAGUGGGGGAUAUUGCACAAUGGGGGAAACCCUGAUGCAGCGACGCCGCGUUAGUGAAGAAGUAUUUCGGUAUGUAAAGCUCUAUCAGCAGGGAAGAAAAUGACCGUACCUUGCCAAGAAGGCCCCGCUAACGACGUGCCAGCAGCCGCGGUAAUACGUAGGGGGCAAGCGUUACCCGGGUGUACCGGGUGGAAAGGGAACGUAGACGGGGAUGGAAAGCUGGAGUGAAAGCCAGGGGCCCAACCCCGGGACUGGUUUGGGAACUGUGUAAGUGGAGUGCAGGAGGGGCAGGUGGAAUGCCUGGUGUAGCGGGGAAAUGCGUAGAUAUCAGGAGGAACACCGGCGGCGAAGGCGGCCUGCUGGACUGUAACUGACGUUGAGGCUCGAAAGCGUGGGGAGCAAACAGGAUUAGAUACCCCUGUAGUC